GGUUCCUGGCAGCGGUCCUCCUCAUGGAGUCAUGGAGGAGCUGUUCCAGGAUCGUUGGCAGGGCAGAGGCAGGCCUUGGUCAAGCUAAUUUACUCCCAUGUGAGUGAGUCCAGUGUGCUUGUCGUGAAUGACAGCUGGGCCCUGAUGGAUGUCAAUGGUUGCAAGAGCUCCAAGGCAGGAACCUUCUUCUAGGCAAAAGCAACCUAAGACGUUGUCCACAGAUGCCUACAGGAGAAAAUCCAAAUUCCUUAACAUGGGUACAUACCUCCUUCACAAGUUUGCACUGUAUCCUGCUUCAGCAUCAUUUUUUUUGCCAAACCCGACUUGCACUCCCAUUCUCCAGCCACACCAAGCUAUUUGCCAAAUGGGCCCAGUGUUUAUAAACCUCAGCCUGGAAUGUCCUUCCAUGCCCUGGUUAACGCUUACUCAUGUUACACGACCCAACUGAAGCUCUUCUUGGCCCUCCACACCUUUUUGUGGAGUGCUGUGUCUCCUGCUUUGUGGCCCUCUGUACCUGUAAAUACUUCCAUAGUUGUACCAAUAACGUCUCUUUUUCUCUGGCUGUUUACAUAUCUGACAGUCCUUCUGUCUAUAAGUUCUUUUGAGGCAAGGCCGGUUUUUUUCCAGCUUUGUAUGUCCACUGCAGAUGCUCAAUUAAUGUUUUCUUAAAAUUAAUAAAUUAAAAAGUUGAAUGACUGGUUAA
rnacentral:lncRNA from 1 species